rnacentral:rRNA from 1 species
AGCGAACGCUGGCGGCAGGCCUAACACAUGCAAGUCGAACGAACCUUUCGGGGUUAGUGGCGGACGGGUGAGUAACACGUGGGAACGUGCCUUUAGGUUCGGAAUAACUCAGGGAAACUUGUGCUAAUACCGAAUGUGCCCUUCGGGGGAAAGAUUUAUCGCCUUUAGAGCGGCCCGCGUCUGAUUAGCUAGUUGGUUGAGGUAAUGGCUCACCAAGGCGACGAUCAGUAGCUGGUCUGAGAGGAUGAUCAGCCACAUUGGGACUGAGACACGGCCCAAACUCCGACGGGAGGCAGCAGUGGGGAAUCUUGCGCAAUGGGCGAAAGCCUGACGCAGCCAUGCCGCGUGAAUGAUGAAGGUCUUAGGAGUGUAAAAUUCUUUCACCGGGGACGAUAAUGACGGUACCCGGAGAAGAAGCCCCGGCUAACUUCGUG